rnacentral:rRNA from 1 species
CGGUUGAUCCUGCCAGAGGUUACUGCUAUCGGAGUUCGAUUAAGCCAUGCGAGUCUAAAGGUUUCUUUCGAGAAACCUUGGCGGACUGCUCAGUAACACGUGGAUAACCUACCCUUGGGACUGGAAUAACCCCGGGAAACUGGGGAUAAUACCGGAUAGAUCAGGGAUGCUGGAAUGCACCUUGAUCCAAAGCUCCGGCGCCCAAGGAUGGGUCUGCGGUCUAUCAGGUUGUAGUGGGUGUAACGUACCUACUAGCCGACGACGGGUACGGGUUGUGAGAGCAAGAGCCCGGAGAUGGAUUCUGAGACACGAAUCCAGGCCCUACGGGGUGCAGCAGGCGCGAAAUCUUUACAAUGUGCGAAAGCAUGAUAAGGGAACUCCGAGUGCCAGUAUCUAAUACUGGCUGUCCUUGUGCCUAAAACGCACAAGAUAGCAAGGGCCGGGUAAGACCGGCGCCAGCCGCCGCGGUAACACCGGCGGCCCGAGUGGUAGCCGCUAUUAUUGGGUCUAAAGGGUCCGUAGCCGGUUCGAUAAGUCCUCUGGGAAAUCUGGUUGCUUAACAAUCAGACUGCCAAGGGAUACUGUCGAACUUGAGACCGGGAGAGGUAAGAGGUACUUCAGGGGUAGGAGUGAAAUCUUGUAAUCCCUGGGGGACCAUCUGUGGCGAAGGCGUCUUA